CAGCCCGCCUUGGAUUUGCAGCCCCUUACACUGGACCAGAGAUUUGAAUCCUGCCCAGGACGCCUCAUAUGUCUGUCUUCUCUUGUUUCUGUCUGAAAGACCGACCUGAGCAUCUGCCAGGAGGCAGUUCUCCAGGGGCGAGCACCUUGUCCGGAGAUAGCGUCACUGGACUUGGAUACCCUCUGAAGGUCUUAAUGACGCCCUGUGUCCCAGAGUGAAAGAUUCAACGUUACCACAGCUGCGCCUUUCCCCGAGAAUCUGAAAACAGAAGGCAAGCUGAGUCUGUCCUCGGAGGAGAGAGCGAUAGAGAAAGCUCGCCCUCUGCUGGUGGAGAGUUGGAGCCAGGCUCACAAUAACUGACCCUGUGAUCCAUGGGUACUAUCUCAUAAUGUGGGUUUCUAAAUUCCUCAGACCCUCGAAGCUGCCACCUCCCAUCCAGCAAUGCCCCCACCGGCCUCGCUCCCUCGAGGUUCUCUCGACUGACUCAUGGUUCAGUCUUCCCAGAAGCAUUUUGAAAUGACAAAUGUACUCUCAACGGCUUAGUCCUUUUGGUAAUUUUUUUUCAGGAUUGAUUUUGGCAAAGUCUGGUCUACUCUGUCACAGAAUUUAGUUGUAGAAGUCAAGUUAUUUUUUAUAAGCCUGGCCCUAUAUUACAUGUGAUAUAAAAUAGCAUUUUUAUCUUUUGACCUGGUUAUGAUCUUUUGUUUCUGGAGAGAAAUUGUAAGGUGUCUUAAAAGACACCUUAUGGAACUGGAUGGUAUAUCUUAACUAAUUAAAGACUUGUCCCCAUGAA